rnacentral:misc_RNA from 1 species
UUUCUCUAUAAAUUCUCCCACAUCCAUAUGCCUUGGACAACUAUCCACAUCUCUCACCCCAUUCCUGCAUAUCCAAGAGUGUUUCUCCUCAUCCUUGGAACAUAAUGAGUUAUGAAGGAUAUGAGAACAACCAUAUGUCUGUUGGACCAUGGGGAGGCCAAAAUGGAGUACGUUGGGACGAUGGAGUUUUCGACUCUGUAAGACAAGUGUUGAUCUGCCAUGGAGCUGGGGUUGAUUCCAUCCAGUUUGAGUAUGACAAGAAGGGCACUUCAGUGUGGUCUGAGAAGCACGGUGGAACUGGUGGUGUCAGGACAAAUAAGGUGAAGCUUGAUUAUCCUGAUGAAUAUCUUGUAUCUGUAAGUGGCCAUUACGGAAGCGGGGUUGACUAUGGUCCAAUACUGAUUCGUUCCCUUAUUUUCGAGAGCAACAAAAGGAAGUACGGACCUUUUGGAAUUCAGCAAGGAACCCAUUUCUCAUUUCCUCUGACCGGUGGCAAAGUAGUUGGUUUCCAUGGCCGGAGCAGUUGGUACCUUGACUCCAUUGGAGUUUACUUAAAGCCUCUCCUGCAACGAAAUCCAUCCAAGAAUCCUGCUGCUCAACAAGCGACCGGCCGAACAGGAGAUAAAGUGAAAGAUCCUUAUGACUCUGAAGUGGAAACAAACAACCAGAAGGCGGUUAAUGAUAAAGCAGCCAUCGUCAGACCCGUGAAGGCAGUGUCAUAUGGACCGUGGGGUGGUAAUGGUGGAAUGCUAUUUGAUGAUGGAGUUUAUACAGGCGUCCGUGAAAUUCAUUUAACACGCUAUGGAGGCGUUGUUUCCAUACGAGUUUGUUAUGAUCUGAAUGGCCAAGCAAUAUGGGGAAACAAGAAUGGUGGAAGCGGAGCAAUUAGAUUAGACAAGAUAGCUUUUGAUUAUCCAUCUGAAAUCUUGACUCACAUAACCGGAUAUUAUGGAUCAACCAUCCUAAGGGGUCCUACCGUCGUCAAGUCCCUGACCUUUCACACCAAUAAGAUGAAAUAUGGACCCUUUGGGGAGGAACAAGGGAUUUCUUUCUCCUCUGGUUCUAACAAUGGGUUUGUUGUUGGAUUCCAUGGAAGAAAGGGAUGGUUCAUAGACAGUAUUGGAGUCCAUGUCGCAGAAGUUAAAUUGUCCAGGCCAUUAUCUCGGUCUUCCUAUGAUCCCUUCGAUUCCACCGACGUUAAAGAAUAUGAGGUUAUGGUCCCCGGAAUGGCAAGAGAACCAGCUGCAGCUGCUCCAUGGGCGUCAGGACCAUGGGGUGGUGAUGGAGGUAAGCCCUGGGACGAUGGAAUAUACUCUGGGGUUAAGAAGAUUUUCUUGGCAAAAGGAGAAGCCAUAUAUUGCAUCCAAAUCGAGUAUGAUCGAAAUGGCCAAUCUGCUUGGUCAGUUAGGCAUGGAGGUGGCAGUGAAGGAAGCUCUCACUUGGUAAUCAAUGCAAUGACUUGAGCACCAAAUUUAAUGAGUAUAAUUUUGUUUUCAGUUAAUAUUAAUUAUGGGUUCUGUGCUGUUAUGCUUAAAAUCAAAGCAGAUCAAAUUUGAGUAUCCAUACGAAAUUCUUACCAGUGUAUGUGGUUAUUAUGGAUCUCUCACUGGAGAUGAUAGCAACAGUGUAAUAAAAUCCCUCACAUUCUAUACCAAUAAGGGGAAAUAUGGACCAUAUGGAGAGGAAAUAGGAACGUUUUUCCCUUCUACGAAAACAGAAGGAAAGAUUGUUGGGUUCCAUGGGAGGAGUGGAUGUUACUUGAAUUCAGUUGGCGUUCAUAUGCAGCAAUGGUCAAGUGAUCGAGACUUGGCACCGCAAGGGCCUGGAGAGCGAGGUGGUGCCGUCAAAACUAUUCUAAAUAAGUUGUUUAAUUGAAGUUCAUUAGUUUUCUAGCAUUUA